rnacentral:tRNA from 1 species
CUUGGAAUAGCAAAAUGGUAAUGCAAUGGACUUAGGAUCCAUCUAAAGAAGGGCAACUUUUCAAAU